rnacentral:rRNA from 1 species
GAGUUUGAUCAUGGCUCAGGAUGAACGCUGGCGGCGUGCUUAACACAUGCAAGUCGAACGGAAAGGCCCUUGCUUGCAAGGGUGCUCGAGUGGCGAACGGGUGAGUAACACGUAGGUGAUCUGCCUUUCACUUCGGGAUAAGCUUGGGAAACUGGGUCUAAUACCGGAUAUUCACGGCACCGUGGUUGGUGUGGUGGAAAGCUUUUGCGGUGGGAGAUGAGCUUGCGGCCUAUCAGCUUGUUGGUGGGGUAAUGGCCUACCAAGGCGGCGACGGGUAGCCGGCCUGAGAGGGUGUGCGGCCACAUUGGGACUGAGAUACGGCCCAGACUCCUACGGGAGGCAGCAGUGGGGAAUUUUGCACAAUGGGCGGAAGCCUGAUGCAGCGACGCCGUGU